rnacentral:sRNA from 1 species
CAAUGUAGGCAAGGGAAGUCGG